rnacentral:rRNA from 2 species
ACGGGAGGCAGCAGUGGGGAAUCUUCCGCAAUGGGCGAAAGCCUGACGGAGCAAUGCCGCGUGAGUGAAGAAGGCCUUCGGGUUGUAAAACUCUGUCCUUAUCGAAGAGAGCUAGAUGUGUGAAUAAUGCAUUUAGAGGACGGUAGAUAAGGAGGAAGCCCCGGCUAACUACGUGCCAGCAGCCGCGGUAAUACGUAGGGGGCGAGCGUUGUCCGGAAUCACUGGGCGUAAAGGGCGCGUAGGCGGUCUGUUAAGUCAGUUGUGAAAACUAAGGGCUCAACCUUUAGCCUGCAACUGAUACUGGCAGACUUGAGUAUGGAAGAGGAGUAUGGAAUUCCUAGUGUAGCGGUGAAAUGCGUAGAUAUUAGGAGGAACACCAGUGGCGAAGGCGAUACUCUGGGCCAAAACUGACGCUGAGGCGCGAAAGUAUGGGGAGCAAACAGGAUUAGAUACCCUGGUA